GGGGCUGACUUGGAUUUCGACAGAUUUCUUGUCGCACAGAUAGCAUGCCAAGUGCUGCUUGUAAAACAGCAACAAAAAUAACUGUAAACAACACAGAUUACGCUCCAGCUUACGCUAAAGCUGCGUGAGUUAAUCUCCUUUUGGAGCUGGACUGAUUAGGAUUUCUAGCGUUUUAAUCACUCCAUAACCUUAAGCUAGACGCUUUUAAAAGGUGGUUCGCCUUUUAAACUAAGAAACAAGAACUCUUGAAACUGCCUCAAGGUUUUAGAAAGUUGGACCAGAGCUAGUUUUAAGGCUAAAAAACUAACCAAUUUUCUAAGCAUUGUAGAAGUUUGUGUUUAGGACAAGAUUUUUGGACUGGGGUUCGAUUCCCCACAGCUCCACCA
rnacentral:tmRNA from 1 species